GGCGCCUAACACAUGCAAGUCGAGCGGUAGAGAGAAGCUUGCUUCUCUUGAGAGCGGCGGACGGGUGAGUAAUGCCUAGGAAUCUGCCUGGUAGUGGGGGAUAACGUUCGGAAACGGACGCUAAUACCGCAUACGUCCUACGGGAGAAAGCAGGGGACCUUCGGGCCUUGCGCUAUCAGAUGAGCCUAGGUCGGAUUAGCUAGUUGGUGAGGUAAUGGCUCACCAAGGCGACGAUCCGUAACUGGUCUGAGAGGAUGAUCAGUCACACUGGAACUGAGACACGGUCCAGACUCCUACGGGGGGCAGCAGUGGGGAAUAUUGGACAAUGGGCGAAAGCCUGAUCCAGCCAUGCCGCGUGUGUGAAGAAGGUCUUCGGAUUGUAAAGCACUUUAAGUUGGGAGGAAGGGUUGUAGAUUAAUACUCUGCAAUUUUGACGUUACCGACAGAAUAAGCACCGGCUAACUCUGUGCCAGCAGCCGCGGUAAUACAGAGGGUGCAAGCGUUAAUCGGGAUUACUGGGCGUAAAGCGCGCGUAGGUGGUUUGUUAAGUUGGAUGUGAAAUCCCCGGGCUCAACCUGGGAACUGCAUUCAAAACUGACUGACUAGAGUAUGGUAGAGGGUGGUGGAAUUUCCUGUGUAGCGGUGAAAUGCGUAGAUAUAGGAAGGAACACCAGUGGCGAAGGCGACCACCUGGACUAAUACUGACACUGAGGUGCGAAAGCGUGGGGAGCAAACAGGAUUAGAUACCCUGGUAGUCCACGCCGUAAACGAUGUCAACUAGCCGUUGGAAGCCUUGAGCUUUUAGUGGCGCAGCUAACGCAUUAAGUUGACCGCCUGGGGAGUACGGCCGCAAGGUUAAAACUCAAAUGAAUUGACGG
rnacentral:rRNA from 1 species